rnacentral:lncRNA from 1 species
CAAUUUAACAUCUUUUGAGGUACUUGAUCACAGGCAAAUUGGGCAGCGAAGCUCAUCUAGGCAUGCCAUGCUGCUCACUGGAAGAAGUAUCCUUUGGACAGCACAUGGGGGCACUCGGGAUGAGAGCAAUUAGAAAAAGCAUUAUGGAAAACUCU